CAUAUAAGAAAAAACAACUCUGUUCCGCAGAAUAGCUGUUGACAUUAUAGUUGCGCAGGAACUUUGUUGACUCUAGAGAACAUCAGGCAAAUCGAACAUUCUCGUGGCGGCGACUUUGCAUGCGGAUGUCAUCCAUUUCAACUUUCGAUGCCAGUUACCACGGGUAAUGGGGAAUCAGGGUUCCAUUCCAUACAGGGACCCUGAGAAACGGCUACCACAUGCAAAGAAGGCAG